rnacentral:rRNA from 1 species
GUGGGGAAUUUUGGACAAUGGGCGAAAGCCUGAUCCAGCCAUGCCGCGUGUGUGAAGAAGGUCUUCGGAUUGUAAAGCACUUUAAGUUGGGAGGAAGGGCAGUAAGUUAAUACUUUGCUGUUUUGACGUUACCGACAGAAUAAGCACCGGCUAACUUCGUGCCAGCAGCCGCGGUAAUACGAAGGGUGCAAGCGUUAAUCGGAAUUACUGGGCGUAAAGCGCGCGUAGGUGGUUUUGUAAGUUGGAGGUGAAAUCCCCGGGCUCAACCUGGGAACUGCCUCCAAAACUGCAUGACUAGAGUACGGUAGAGGGUAGUGGAAUUUCCUGUGUAGCGGUGAAAUGCGUAGAUAUAGGAAGGAACACCAGUGGCGAAGGCGACUACCUGGACUGAUACUGACACUGAGGUGCGAAAGCGUGGGGAGCAAACAGGAUUAGAAACCCUGGUAGUCC